rnacentral:rRNA from 1 species
GAUGAACGCUGGCGGCGUGCCUAACACAUGCCAGUCGAGCGGCAGCGAGGGGUGCUUGCACCCUGUCGGCGAGCGGCGGAUGGCUGAGUAACGCGUGGGAACGUGCCCCAAAGUGAGGAAUAACUGCCCGAAAGGGUAGCUAAUACCGCAUAUUAUCUUCGGAUCAAAGGAUUUAUCCGCUUUGGGAGCGGCUCGCGUCGGAUUAGGUAGUUGGUGAGGUAAUGGCUCACCAAGCCGACGAUCCGUAGCUGGUCUGAGAGGAUGACCAGCCAGACUGGAACUGAGACACGGUCCAGACUCCUACGGGAGGCAGCAGUGAGGAAUCUUCCACAAUGGGCGAAAGCCUGAUGGAGCAACGCCGCGUGCAGGACGAAGGCCUUCGGGUUGUAAACUGCUUUUAUAAGUGAGGAAUAUGACGGUAACUUAUGAAUAAGGAUCGGCUAACUACGUG